CAAUAAACACAGCUGUGCACAUAUGACUGUGAUGUGUUGACUUGGAGUCCUUCAGAGUAGUAUAGCUUGGUCAUGUAGUAGCUUUAUUUUCAGGUUUUGUUUUGUUUUGUUUCAUUUCCAUAGGGGUUGCCUAGUUUGCUCUCCUACUAGUGGAGUGAAUAAUGGUUCCUUUCUCCCAUAUCCUCACUGGCAUUUGCCACUUGGUUUCCUGAUGAUAGCCAUUCUGCCUGAGCAACUCCCAAAUUGCCCACAAGAAAGCGACUUGCCGUGUAAAAGGAAAUCACUACAUGGAAUGGAUCGCUUGAAAUGUUUUCCUUCCUUGGUGGCUGGCAGCUAGGUGCUCCCUAUGGGACGCAGUUCACACAUUGACAUCACCCUCCCAAAGCACUGAGCCAAUUCCAUCUGAUCACAGCCUUCAACAGUGAGGAAAUUCAUCCGCCUCCCACACCACUGCCAACUGUAGGUUCAUCUUUAUCUUCACCACUCCUUAGAUGGAAGAAAAACACUUCCUACCAUGCUUGCUGAGAAGCAC
rnacentral:lncRNA from 1 species